CAGAACCAAAACCAAACCCAGAACUUGAUAGAGCAUGGAGGGAAACAAUCUGGAGCAAACAAGAGAAAGAAAGACUGAUGAAAGAAAUAAGGACCUUAACACCAAGA